rnacentral:rRNA from 1 species
GGUGCUUGCAUCUUGAUUUAAUUUUGAACGAGUGGCGGACGGGUGAGUAACACGUGGGUAACCUGCCCUUAAGUGGGGGAUAACAUUUGGAAACAGAUGCUAAUACCGCAUAAAUCCAAGAACCGCAUGGUUCUUGGCUGAAAGAUGGCGUAAGCUAUCGCUUUUGGAUGGACCCGCGGCGUAUUAGCUAGUUGGUGAGGUAACGGCUCACCAAGGCAAUGAUACGUAGCCGAACUGAGAGGUUGAUCGGCCACAUUGGGACUGAGACACGGCCCAAACUCCUACGGGAGGCAGCAGUAGGGAAUCUUCCACAAUGGACGCAAGUCUGAUGGAGCAACGCCGCGUGAGUGAAGAAGGCUUUCGGGUCGUAAAACUCUGUUGUUGGAGAAGAAUGGUCGGCAGAGUAACUGUUGUCGGCGUGACGGUAUCCAACCAGAAAGCCACGGCUAACUACGUGCCAGCAGCCGCGGUAAUACGUAGGUGGCAAGCGUUAUCCGGAUUUAUUGGGCGUAAAGCGAGCGCAGGCGGUUUUUUAAGUCUGAUGUGAAAGCCCUCGGCUUAACCGAGGAAGUGCAUCGGAAACUGGGAAACUUGAGUGCAGAAGAGGACAGUGGAACUCCAUGUGUAGCGGUGAAAUGCGUAGAUAUAUGGAAGAACACCAGUGGCGAAGGCGGCUGUCUGGUCUGUAACUGACGCUGAGGCUCGAAAGCAUGGGUAGCGAACAGGAUUAGAUACCCUGGUAGUCCAUGCCGUAAACGAUGAAUGCUAGGUGUUGGAGGGUUUCCGCCCUUCAGUGCCGCAGCUAACGCAUUAAGCAUUCCGCCUGGGGAGUACGACCGCAAGGUUGAAACUCAAAGGAAUUGACGGGGGCCCGCACAAGCGGUGGAGCAUGUGGUUUAAUUCGAAGCAACGCGAAGAACCUUACCAGGUCUUGACAUCUUUUGAUCACCUGAGAGAUCAGGUUUCCCCUUCGGGGGCAAAAUGACAGGUGGUGCAUGGUUGUCGUCAGCUCGUGUCGUGAGAUGUUGGGUUAAGUCCCGCAACGAGCGCAACCCUUAUGACUAGUUGCCAGCAUUUAGUUGGGCACUCUAGUAAGACUGCCGGUGACAAACCGGAGGAAGGUGGGGAUGACGUCAAAUCAUCAUGCCCCUUAUGACCUGGGCUACACACGUGCUACAAUGGAUGGUACAACGAGUUGCGAGACCGCGAGGUCAAGCUAAUCUCUUAAAGCCAUUCUCAGUUCGGACUGUAGGCUGCAACUCGCCUACACGAAGUCGGAAUCGCUAGUAAUCGCGGAUCAGCACGCCGCGGUGAAUACGUUCCCGGGCCUUGUACACACCGCCCGUCACACCAUGAGAGUUUGUAACACCCGAAGCCGGUGGCGUAACCCUUUUAGGGAGCGAGCCGUCUAAGGUGGGACAAAUGAUUAGGGUGAAGUCGUAACAAGGUAGCCGUAGGAGAACCUGCGGCUGGAUCACCUCCUUU